rnacentral:rRNA from 1 species
UACGUAGGGUGUAAGCGUUAAUCGGAAUUACUGGGCGUAAAGCGUGCGCAGGCGGUUGUGCAAGACCGAUGUGAAAUCCCCGGGCUCAACCUGGGAAUGGCAUUGGUGACUGUACGGCUAGAGUGUGUCAGAGGGGGGUAGAAUUCCACGUGUAGCAGUGAAAUGCGUAGAGAUGUGGAGGAAUACCGAUGGCGAAGGCAGCCCCCUGGGAUAACACUGACGCUCAUGCACGAAAGCGUGGGGAGCAAACAGG